CCUACGGGGGGCUGCAGUAGGGAAUAUUGGACAAUGGGCGCAAGCCUGAUCCAGCCAUGCCGCGUGAGUGAAGAAGGCCCUCGGGUUGUAAAGCUCUUUUGUCCGGAAAGAAAAGCGCCGGGUUAAUACCCUAGUGUCCUGACGGUACCGGAAGAAUAAGCACCGGCUAACUUCGUGCCAGCAGCCGCGGUAAUACGAAGGGUGCAAGCGUUACUCGGAAUUACUGGGCGUAAAGCGUGCGUAGGUGGUUUGUUAAGUCUGAUGUGAAAGCCCUGGGCUCAACCUGGGAAUUGCAUUGGAUACUGGCAGGCUAGAGUGCGGUAGAGGGUAGUGGAAUUCCCGGUGUAGCAGUGAAAUGCGUAGAGAUCGGGAGGAACAUCUGUGGCGAAGGCGACUACCUGGACCAGCACUGACACUGAGGCACGAAAGCGUGGGGAGCAAACAGGAUUAGAUACCCCAGUAGUC
rnacentral:rRNA from 1 species